AAGGCCAUCACCCAUGGCUGGAAUGGAACAUACAUGAUAAGUAUAACAUACAAGCAGUUUCAAGUUUAUGUUCUUAUAUUCCUGUAAACUUCAACUUAAUUGUACAAUCUAUCUUGAGAAUUCUCCACAUAACAGCAAACACUUCUUAUGUUAAUCGUCCAUAUUAUGCACAUAUACCAGAGGUGGGCAUAACCAGAUAGUUGAUGAAGUUUGUGUAGUGCCCUCACUGGGGUCUCAGUUCCUGAACUUUACUUCCAUAGUCCGACUCUUAUAGGUGGGACAUGUUGGACAAGGUGGAUAAAAACAAGCAUAUAAAUUCUCAUUCAUAUAAGUUUUAGAAACAAAUGAGGUAAGGAAAAUAAUUGUUUGUUGAAACUGGGUGUUAUAUGAAUACUCCUCGCCAGAACCAUAGAAUUUGCAACCUCUGUAACCUUAAUGCUGUAGAAGAUGAAUACCAUUUUCCUUUUAUCUGCCCCACUAUGAAAACCUUAGAAAGAAAUAUUUAACAUCCUACUAUUAUACCCAUCCAAAUGAAAUAAAAUGACUAUAUUAUUAACAAAUGAAAAUAUUGAAUUAGAGAACCUGUCAUUGUAUAUCUAUUUUGCAAUUAUACAUAGAAAAUCUGCUUUAAAUUUGUAAUCUGUAAAUAUUUUACAUAUGCUUUCAGCUGCUCAGUUGUAAAUAUUGUGUAUAUAAAUGUACAAUAGACCUGCAGCCUUUUAAGUUCCGUGAUAAAGAUUGAUUGAACUGAUCUUAAUCAGUUUUAGACAUAUUUUGGAUAAUACUAUUUGUUUCUGUGUAUAUCGCUCCAUACAAAGCUUUACAUUUCUUCCUUAUGUUUACACAAUAACUAAAUCUUCCAAAUGAAAUGUUGUAAACAGUGUUGUACAGAAGUAUAUAUUUCAUUGAUAAAUCCAAAUAUUAGGUUCAUCUCCAAACUUCAUAUUCAAUACUUGAAGAUUUUUAUUUUAGUUAUGACUUGAUUUGUAUAAACAGCAACUAUAUUUAACACAUAUAUCCAUCUGGCUUGCCUUGUAUUACAAUCUACUGUCACUGAUUUAUUAAUUACUUCAUACACUAAGUGUCCAAUGGCUCAAUAUGUACUUGUUUACCAAUCCAAUUUAAUGUUUGCCAUAAAUAUAUGGUUAAAUAUAAAUAUGUUUAUGUUGCAUUGUUGUUUUGUAAUUAUUUGUUAUGCAUUUUAAAAGUUCCGCUCACAGACAGAAGCACAGGAACAUGUUCUGACGCCAUUGCUUUCUCAUUUGUCUUGAUGGUGUCUUCUGUAGCCAUCUUUUCCGGCUUGCUUUAUGGAAAUGACAGAUGUAAAACUGCUUUCUGGAAACAGAAAUGUGUUUGGUGUAUACUAUCUGAAUAUUGGUUGUGAUUAUGAAAUUCUGUUCUGUUUUGUUAAACAUGCAUUUCUUAGAAGUUGGCAGAGAAUGAAGUCAACAAAACCGCUUGUAUUAUAAUGUAACUGUUACAGAAUGAUUACAAAAGUUGUUAUGAAUAAACUAUUGUCUACUUUGUCAA